UACGUAGGGUGCGAGCGUUAAUCGGAAUUACUGGGCGUAAAGCGUGCGCAGGCGGUUUUGUAAGCCAGAUGUGAAAUCCCCGGGCUUAACCUGGGAAUGGCAUUUGGGACUGCAAGGCUGGAGUGCGGCAGAGGAGACUGGAAUUCCUGGUGUAGCAGUGAAAUGCGUAGUAUAUCAGGAGGAAUACCGAUGGCGAAGGCAGGUCUCUGGGCUGACACUGACGCUCAUGCACGAAAGCGUGGGAGC
rnacentral:rRNA from 1 species